rnacentral:rRNA from 1 species
CCUACGGGAGGCUGCAGUGAGGAAUAUUGGUCAAUGGCCGUAAGGCUGAACCAGCCAAGUAGCGUGAGGGAAGACUGCCCUAUGGGUUGUAAACCUCUUUUAUGCGGGGAUAAAGGUGUCCACGUGUGGAUGUUUGCAGGUACCGCAUGAAUAAGGACCGGCUAAUUCCGUGCCAGCAGCCGCGGUAAUACGGAAGGUCCGGGCGUUAUCCGGAUUUAUUGGGUUUAAAGGGAGCGUAGGCCGGUCUUUAAGCGUGCCGUGAAAUUUUGUGGCUCAACCAUGGGAGUGCGGCGCGUACUGGAGACCUUGAGUGCGCGGAAGGCAGGCGGAAUUCGUGGUGUAGCGGUGAAAUGCUUAGAUAUCACGAAGAACCCCGAUUGCGAAGGCAGCCUGCCGCAGCGUUACUGACGCUGAAGCUCGAAAGCGCGGGUAGCGAACAGGAUUACAUACCCUUGUAGUC